UACGAAGGACCCGAGCGUUAUCCGGAUUUAUUGGGUUUAAAGGGUGCGUAGGCGGACUAGCAAGUCAGUGGUGAAAUCUCUCUGCUCAACAGAGAAACUGCCAUUGAAACUACUUGUCUUGAGUACAUUUGAGGCGGGCGGAAUGUGUCAUGUAGAGGUGAAAUUCUUAGAUAUGACACAGAACACCAAUUGCGAAGGCAGCUCGCUAAACUGUAACUGACGCUGAGGCACGAAAGCGUGGGGAUCAAACAGG
rnacentral:rRNA from 1 species